UUCAGUAGCUGUGGCACACAGGCUUAAUGGCCCCAUGAUAUCUGGAAUCUUCCUGAAUCAGGGAUGGAUCCUGUGGUCCCCCGCACUGGCAGUUCCCUUACAUCCUUCAUUGCAUAAAGAAGAGUUUUUUAACAGGCCUGUUUCACUUCCAAGAAUCCACUCCGUGAUGGAAACAGUGGGGGUUCAGAAGAUCCAAUGCUGGGAGAGACUCCGAGGGAAAUUCAAGGUUUGGUGCUUGGAAAGUCACAGACCUUCAUGGCACAGGGAUUCAGAGAUCGUUCCUUGCUUCCAGCUAGAAUGCAAGCUCAAGAGGAAUUUUAUCUUGCUCAUCAGUCUAUCCCAAAACCUAGAAAGGCGUCUGCCCCAAAAGAAGUGCUCAACAAGUGUUUGUAGAAUGAAUAAACAAUUGCCUUCAGCUAUCAAUUCAUACUUUUGAGACAGGGUGGGACCUGGGACCCAUUACUGAGGUGCUUGCACCUGGACGAACGUCUCCUCAAGAAACAAAAUACAAAGAAACUAUAACGUAUUAAAAUAAUUGCAUGUGUGCCCAUUUGGG